AACAGCUGCCGUAUUUUUGCCAGAUACCAAUUUGAAUGUCAUUAAUAAUAAUUGUUUUUCUUUGUAUUCUUUCUCUUUCUGUUCGGCUGAUUGGAACAACGAUGUAGAGUGGAGUAUAAAUAAAACAUGUCAUCAAUCCAAACAGAAAACAAUAACUGAAACUGAAACUGAAACAAAACCAGUAUAAAUACGAGCUUUUUGAUAAAACGAAGUAUUACAAAUUUAUUUUUGAAGUAGAAGAAAUUUGAGACUUGAUCGAAACUUAAGAAUUGAUCAACAUGCCUGGCAAAACACCAAUGACAACAGAUGCGGCCGCCAGAAUUCAGAGUCACGAGGCAAGGCAGAGCGGAACCGGUCAUGUGCAAUCGGGAGGAUUCGCAUCCAGGGCGCAAGGAGCUGCUGCGGGUAAUGUGAAUCAAGGAAGAACUCAGCACCAAGGAGGCAAAAAGUGAGCGAUGACAGGUGAAGAAGAAAGUGACAGGUGAACGGUUGGAUCAAAUCAAAUUCCCUUCAGCAGUCUUGAAACUGACAACAUGAAAAAAUCAAAAAAGAUGAGCGAAUUUGAUCUGAAAGAUUUAUGAUAAUAUCCCGGGUUAUGUAAAGUUAAGUCCAUAUAAAGUUAUGUAAAGUUUGUUCAGUUUUAACCAGUAUGUAGUUUGUAGUAGAAUGUUGUAUGGAAUCGUGAUAUUUUAGACAAUACAUUUAUGGUUGAUUGAA